rnacentral:rRNA from 1 species
AGCUCCAAUAGCGUAUAUUAAAGUUGUUGCAGUUAAAAAGCUCGUAGUUGAAUCUCUGAUCGGUUGCGUUCACGGCAUUCGUCGGCUCGUCAGCCUGAUCAUCCGUAGGACGAGCCUGAUCAUCCGUAGGGGAAUCAGGUUCGGUCUUCACUGGUCGGCCUGUGGAACCUACAUUUUACUGUGAAAAAAUUAGAGUGCUCCAGGCAGGCAAUCGCUUGGAUACUCCAGCAUGGAAUAAUGGAAUAGGACUUUGAACUAUUCGUUGGUUUGAGUUCAGAGUAAUGAUUAAUAGGGACAGUUGGGGGCAUUCGUAUUUAAUUGUCAGAGGUGAAAUUCUUGGAUUUAUUAAAGACGAACUUAUGCGAAAGCAUUUGCCAAGGAUGUUUUCAUUAAUCAAGAA